rnacentral:rRNA from 1 species
GAGUGCGGGUGCUAUACAUGCAAGUCGAGCGGACAGAAGGGAGCUUGCUCCCGGAUGUUAGCGGCGGACGGGUGAGUAACACGUGGGUAACCUGCCUGUAAGACUGGGAUAACUCCGGGAAACCGGAGCUAAUACCGGAUAGUUCCUUGAACCGCAUGGUUCAAGGAUGAAAGACGGUUUCGGCUGUCACUUACAGAUGGACCCGCGGCGCAUUAGCUAGUUGGUGAGGUAACGGCUCACCAAGGCGACGAUGCGUAGCCGACCUGAGAGGGUGAUCGGCCACACUGGGACUGAGACACGGCCCAGACUCCUACGGGAGGCAGCAGUAGGGAAUCUUCCGCAAUGGACGAAAGUCUGACGGAGCAACGCCGCGUGAGUGAUGAAGGUUUUCGGAUCGUAAAGCUCUGUUGUUAGGGAAGAACAAGUGCAAGAGUAACUGCUUGCACCAUGACGGUACCUAACCAGAAAGCCACGGCUAACUACGUGCCAGCAGCCGCGGUAAUACGUAGGUGGCAAGCGUUGUCCGGAAUUAUUGGGCGUAAAGGGCUCGCAGGCGGUUUCUUAAGUCUGAUGUGAAAGCCCCCGGCUCAACCGGGGAGGGUCAUUGGAAACUGGGAAACUUGAGUGCAGAAGAGGAGAGUGGAAUUCCACGUGUAGCGGUGAAAUGCGUAGAGAUGUGGAGGAACACCAGUGGCGAAGGCGACUCUCUGGUCUGUAACUGACGCUGAGGAGCGAAAGCGUGGGGAGCGAACAGGAUUAGAUACCCUGGUAGUCCACGCCGUAAACGAUGAGUGCUAAGUGUUAGGGGGUUUCCGCCCCUUAGUGCUGCAGCUAACGCAUUAAGCACUCCGCCUGGGGAGUACGGUCGCAAGACUGAAACUCAAAGGAAUUGACGGGGGCCCGCACAAGCGGUGGAGCAUGUGGUUUAAUUCGAAGCAACGCGAAGAACCCUUACCAGGUCUUGACAUCCUCUGACACCCUAGAGAUAGGCUUUCCCUUCGGGACAGAGUGACAGUGUGCAUGGAUGUCGUCAGCUCGUGUCGUGAGAUGUUGGGUUAAGU